AACUCUAGGGGUCUUAGGAAGCUGGGUGGUGGGCACAGGCGAGAGGGGACACAGGUGGAAGGAGCUGGCCCGUGUGGAAAGCUGGGGUCCAGACACCCACAGGCCAGCUCAUGCUUGGUGGCCUGACCAGGCCAGCCGUGUCUCCUGUGGGGUCUCAGAGGCUGUAAUUAAAACCUCAUUCAGUUCUGUAAUUGUUGGUUCCGCCCCUGCCAGCCCCUUCCCGGAACUGGCUCUCCAACCCCACCUAGCCUGGCCACUUACCAUUCUGUCCCCAGAGCACACAGUAGGUGCUUGUAGCUAAUUGAGUUGUGUUUUCUCCUAAGUCAAGUGCCCCAGGAGCCCCAGGAGUGACUGGACCUGGAAAUAGACUCUCCCAGGCUUAUUAACUAAGGGUCUCAAGACAAGAUUCCAUAAUGGCCGAUGGUGACGCCCAAUGAGAGGGAGGACACAGGGACCCAGAGAACUGACCUUGAGGAGAUGGGACAGCAGAAGCUGGUGUGGUGUGGCUGCAGACCAAGAAUGCUAGGUGCUAUCAGGGAUUGGAGGGAGCCUUGAAGGAGCAGCACCAUGUCCCCAAACUUCAGCACCAUGUCCCCAAACUUCAGAUUCUGGCCCUAGCACCAAGGGAAGAAACGUUUGUCUCUAUGUUUGUUCGUUCGUUUAGCUAAGGUCUCCCGUAGCCCAGGUUAGCCUCCCUCUGUGGCUGAGGAUGGCCCUGAACUUCUGGUCCUCCUGCUUCCACCUGCAGGGUUCGGGGUUACAGAAGUGUUGCUUCAGGAUCUCCAUGAGGAAGAGGACAAAGGCUAAAACGAGAGCUUCUGCAGGAAGAAUGAGGCAGGGGCACUCUCUGGACACCUCUAAAGCCACACUGUGUGCACCUGCCUCCUAGUCCCCCAGCCCACUACCAUCCCAACUCACAGCUCUUGUUCACUGCACAGGCUCUGACACGCAGUGAGCACACACAAGAUGCUUGCUGGGCUUUUCUCGUCAUUGCCACACCUCAGUCAACUAAGGGUCACUAUCAUGGUCUUGACGGUAGGUGACAUCACUCCUCCUUACUGAAUGCCUCUGGUAACCAGAAGCAGUGCCCCAAGAUAAAGCUAGUCCCAGUGGGGAUGGUCUGGCUGUGUCUGCCCAGGAUCUGCUGGGAAGCUACAAGAGACUCUCGCUCACAAAAAGCAUAAGUGUAAACCGGAGGUCACAUGAUCAGGACACACUAACGUGUGAAACGUCAGAAUGAGACUCACUAUUGCAUAUGGAAUUUAAAAAGAAAAAAAAAAAAAGAUGAUCCUAAAGUGACCCCCGCCACACACCUCUUCUGUUUACUGACACUUCUGGUUUCUCAUGACUGACAUUUAGCAGCAGCUGUGAUGACGGGGACAGGUGGAUGGUGUCCUCAUCAGCUUCCUGCCCAGCCGCUCGGGAACACAAAUGCCAGCACCCAGGCUCCUGAGGCCAUAGCGCGUUCCUCAAAGAGCUCCUAGAACUGUGGCUCCCUAAAAGCCAAAGGACACACAUUAAACAUCGUGGGAGGACCUGGUACCCCACAGAGACUACAGGCUUGGCCACUGUUGCCCAUGUACCAGUAGGCUACCGGACUUGUGGUUUCUGGGAGACAGCAUGUAAAAUUUACUUCCACGGAAAAUGUUGGUGUUGAAUGAGACCUUCACACCUGUGUGUGCACGGUGGCUUCUCAGUGACAGCUGGUGGCAGCAGCUACAAGACUGGCUCUAGGAUCUCCAUCUCCCAAGCCAUUGCAGCUGUUGGACAUCAAGGGACCCACGUGGACCCCACAGUGCAAAAGCCAGAUCCUGUGGGCUCAUGCUGGGGUCACGUGAGGUCACACCCUCAAAGGAGGAUGUACUGUCUGCAAGCUCUGCUGAGUGGAGACCCCAGCCUGGAGCCCCAAGUGACCUGGCAGUGAACUAACAAGCCCAGGCCAGCACCAAGCACCUGGGGUCUGGCAGGGCCUUCUGGAGGGCAGCCUGUUGCGCCAUGUGCCAGAGGGAAUGUCUGCCCCAGCUGUAGGCUGGCCUGUGUAUCUCCAGGAUGAAGCUCAACUCCUGAGUCAAGACAUUCAGACCUGCUCUCACCCCUUGUAUGGUAGACAGCUGCCACUCUAUCAGAUCGAAAUUCUUGUUUGCAACAUCACAGCUAUGACACAUCCGUCCAAUUUUAGCAUAGAGUCCAACCAGUGCAGGCUCUCCCCAAGGAGCCAGCAGCUGGAGUGCCCCAAGGCAACUUAAGCAAGGGGAAACCAAUUUUCAUUUUUACCCAAGUACCUACGCCACACCCAUUUUGCUGUGAUCUGCUAGACUUAACUAGUCAUUCAUGGGGCCUGUGAGGCUCAAAGAGGACAUACUUCCCUGGAGUCUUGAACUCAUCCUCCUGCAUCGCCCCUAAGGAGGAGGGCUACAGGUGUGUACAACCACAACCAGCCACUUUGCUUUUCCCAGGGUCUCUAGGUCAAAUUCCCCGCCUGAAGAGCCUUUAACAGCUAUGUUUCGGCUUGUAGUGGAGAGCAGCCCUUUAAUCCCAGCACCUAGGAGCAGAGGCAGGAGAAUUGGAGAGUUGGAGGCCGGCCUGCUCUGCAGAGUGAGUUCCAGGACAGCCAGGGUUAUGAAAUAGCCAGACCCUGCCUCACUGUGCCUGACAUUGCAUCUCACCAAGUAUCGAGAGGUCUGUCCCUCAUGCACAGUGAGGGAAGAGCCUAAACUUGGCUGGAGAACCCUGAAUGUUUUCCUAAGAGGUAAAGUGCUGGUUUCAGCCAUCAGGCAGGCCCCACUGAAUAGGCUGAAGAAGGGCACAGCCUGCCCUGUAUCAAAGCAUACUUUUUUAUUAUAGUAGACUCGGACGACGACAGAACGUUGCUUAUGGACAGUCAAGCUUGACUUACAGGGUGCCUACCGGAGAGCUAGUUUGCCCCAGAUAGAUCAAAGGCCCCACCAGCCACUCUUUAGACCUCAUAGCUGCUGCUUCAGAAGGUGGAGCCACACACGUGCUUAAAAUAAAACCACCGAGCUCUGCAACACAACGGAUUGCCUUUAUUUCGGUAUGCAUCCACAUUUCAACAUUUAGUGGUCCUGAACAGAGUGGGGAGCGUGGCAGUGAGCCAGGAGGCCAGGCCCACGGAUCUGCAGAUGAUCUGCAAACAUGGGGACACAGAGCUCCUCCUGGUCCCUGCAGAGGGUCUGAGGAGCAACACUGAAACCUGAGUCUGCAGGGUCAGGGCCUCGUGCUCCAGCUGUCAGGCUCCACAUCAGACCCGAUGGGUGGCCAGGGUGACGAGAGCCCUGUUCAAACCUCUUCAAUGUGUAAAA